CCUUCCCAUCUACGUUUAUUAAUACACACAAAUGGAGAAAAAGGAAAAUCCAGAAUUCCUAGAUGCAUUGCUCUACCUUUAACAUGUUUAAAGUCUAUAUUAGUGUACUUUGUGAGUUUCUUUUUCAGGUUAUCCCUGCUGCUGCACAUGCCCUUGCCAAAAUCCAUAUGCAUCUUGUAUUCAGUGUGUUAGGACAACAGAUUUUUGAUUUUUCUUCCCUUUCAGGUUUUGUUACUCUGAAGAAGACGUACUGGAGUUUGGCACUGAUAGUUCUUCUGUUGGAUAUCUCUCUAUGAAAAUGAUUUUUGAUUUUUCUUAUCUAUUUGUUUAUGUGAAAAUGGGUUCCUUCAAAUAAUUUGUUCUAGAUAAGAUGAUAAAUGUGACUGAAAAUUAUCUAUCCAUAAUUAUUGAUUGUUAAAAGAACUAAAUCUUUACCUGUUUUUGUUUGGAAACAAGUCACUAAAAAUCAUUACUUAUUGAUAUACCUGAAACUAGGUUAUUACUAGGGGAGUAUUUUGUGCAUUGAAGGUAUUUGAUUGAAUAUUUCUUUUACUUCUUGAUUUUUUAGUUGUCAGUCACUAUAAUUUACUAUGUGUUGCCUUUUAUUUGAAUCAGCCAUGCAGGGCUAGGUCAAAUCAGUUGUUAGGUCUUUUAGAUUCACCUUAUUGUGUAAUUUUUUUUGCAUCUCUUAAUGAGAAACCAAUGCCCUUAAAGAUUUUGCGUGUUUAAAGUUUGUUUUUUGUUGACUUAACAAAUAUGUAUUGAUAUUUGGAGGAAAUACUUUGUAUCGUCUAAACAGUUGUAUCAUCUAUGUUACAUGGAGUCUUAUUAAACCUUUAAACAUGGACAUCUGAUUUAUGUAAACUGCUUCCAUAGCCUUAACCUCUGUCUCCAAUUUACUUCUUGGGAUACCGUUAUACUCUUGUGCUGAAUAUGAUUAAAAUGAGCAUUAUAGAACUGUGUUAUCUCAUUUCUGUAGUCAGUAUAUUCUGUAAUGGUAAGUUCUGUCCUAUGUUGCGUAGAAAAAAAAAUAACGUGUUAUAGUCUGGAUGGUUUUAGGCAUCUUCAAUCAGUUAGAUCCACUUCAACUUGACAUUACCCAAUUCCUCUUCAACAUCCAGUUUUGAUGAAGGUUGCACUGUCCUUUGGUGUAUUUGUUUUAAGGAUUUUACUUUGUUGUCUUCGUAUAUGAUUUCUAUAGCUGUAUUUUAUUGCAUUGGAGGUAUAAGAUUUUCCAGUUCCAUAAAUUAUGUCAGUAACAUCAAUUUAUAUAUUGGGAAAAUGUGGCACAUAGCACUUUCUUAACUAUAAUCAGUUUGCAUGUUUCAGUUAUGUGAUCUUUUUCUUUAGUUUUGAUAGAUGUUUAUGCUUUAUCAUCUGUCAUUUUAAGAGUAAUGUCUAUCCUUCAAAUUUUUGUUUCAAUGACAACAAUGAUUUUGAUUCUUCAGAUGAUGGUGAAAAUAUUGAAGGAUUGCCCAGUGAAGGUGUUGAGAUAACUUGCUUCAAUUUGGUGAGAUAACUAGAUGGUGCACAUUACAUGAUCUACACACCAUCUGAUCCACUUCUCUUUGUUGCUGUCAAGGGUGAAAAUGGUGUUCUCCAAAUUGCUGACGAUGCAAAUGAUUCAUCUCUAUGAAAUGGGUUUUGAAUUCAGUAUUCAUUUAUUGCUUAUGGUUAUUCUGCAUGCCUUUGAUAUAUUAAUCACUGUUUCUUGAUUUAAUUUUUCUGGAUGUUGUGGCCCCUGGUUUAUUUCAGGUUAGUUUGUUUGCUUCCUACUUUCAGAUAUUGCCUGUUAGAUUGUAUUGAGUUCUUGGAUAUUUUAGCCUUUUAUGUUUGUAGAUCAGAUGCUGAUUUUUUUUUGCCCCUCGUAGACCAAGUUUCUUCUCGGGAUCCCAGUUUGAGCUACAUGAUCUGCCGGAGGACCCUGUUACCGUUGCUGCCAUAGAUGAGGAGACAGAAUUUAAUGCUCUUGUGGAAGAGGAGGCUGCACUUCUUGAAUCAUUGUUGGGAGAAAGAUGAC